CCGUAAGGGAUCACAGUAAAGUAUUAGUGGGUCAGUUCAUUUACUUUGAGUAAAUUAGAGUGUUCAAAGCAGCCUGUAUGGGCAUUGAAUAGAUUAGCAUGGGAUAAUAGAAUAGGAUUCUUAUCUAUUUAUUGGUUUAUAGAUUUAGAAUAAUGAUUAAUAGGGAUAGUUGGGGGCACUUGUAUUCAAUAGUCAGAGGUGAAAUUCUAGGAUUUAUUGAAGACAAACUUCAGCGAAAGCAUUUGCCAAGGAUGUUUUCAUUAAUCAAGAACGAAAGUUAGGGGAUCGAAGACGAUUAGACACCGUCGUAGUCUUAACUAUAAACUAUGCCGACCAGGGAUAUGAGAGUUAUUUAUUUAUACUAUGAACAAUAGUAUAAUCUCUUGUGGACCUUGUGAGAAAUCAUAAGUUUUUGGGUUCUGGGGGGG
rnacentral:rRNA from 1 species